GAGAGCGAAGAGCAAAUCAGAUGAAAGUCUGUGACGCAAAGCUUUAGGGUCUACGUUAUGGUGGCGGUUUAUACGCCAGAUAAUAGGACAGCCAGCUGCCACA
rfam:Acetobacterium wieringae strain DSM 1911 ACWI_contig000033, whole genome shotgun sequence.